rnacentral:rRNA from 1 species
AUUGAACGCUGGCGGCAUGCCUUACACAUGCAAGUCGAACGGCAGCAUGAUCUAGCUUGCUAGAUUGAUGGCGAGUGGCGCACGGGUGAGUAAUACAUCGGAACUUGCCCUGUAGUGGGGGAUAACUAGUCGAAAGAUUAGCUAAUACCGCAUACGACCUGAGGGUGAAAGUGGGGGACCGCAAGGCCUCAUGCUAUAGGAGCGGCCGAUGUCUGAUUAGCUAGUUGGUGAGGUAAAGGCUCACCAAGGCGACGAUCAGUAGCUGGUCUGAGAGGACGAUCAGCCACACUGGAACUGAGACACGGCCCAGACUCCUACGGGAGGCAGCAGUGGGGAAUUUUGGACAAUGGGCGAAAGCCUGAUCCAGCAAUGCCGCGUGUGUGAAGAAGGCCUUCGGGUUGUAAAGCACUGUUGUCCGGAAAGAAAUGGCUCUGGUUAAUACCUGGGGUCGAUGACGGUACCGGAAGAAUAAGGACCGGCUAACUACGUG